AAGACUAUACUUUCAGGGAUCAUUUCUAUAGUUUGUAACUGGUGAAAUGUGCUCGAUAGUGUCUGAACUCAGUAUCCAUGAGGAUGUGUUGUGCUGUUCUUUCCAGAGCGUGAAGUGAGUUCUCAGCGCUGCUUUGUUGUAGCUGCUGUGGCUGUUGAUGAUCGUUCUUCACUCUUUUCUAGGAGUGGAGGGAAAGAACACAAGAACACAAGCUGAGUGGU
ensembl:snoRNA U3 Small nucleolar RNA U3